rnacentral:rRNA from 1 species
UAUGAACCGUUAUAACCGGCGAUUUCCGAAUGGGGAAACCCAGUGUGUUUCGACACACUAUCAUUAACUGAAUCCAUAGGUUAAUGAGGCGAACCGGGGGAACUGAAACAUCUAAGUACCCCGAGGAAAAGAAAUCAACCGAGAUUCCCCCAGUAGCGGCGAGCGAACGGGGAGGAGCCCAGAGCCUGAAUCAGUGUGUGUGUUAGUGGAAGCGUCUGGAAAGGCGCGCGAUACAGGGUGACAGCCCCGUACACAAAAAUGCACAUGCUGUGAGCUCGAUGAGUAGGGCGGGACACGUGGUAUCCUGUCUGAAUAUGGGGGGACCAUCCUCCAAGGCUAAAUACUCCUGACUGACCGAUAGUGAACCAGUACCGUGAGGGAAAGGCGAAAAGAACCCCGGCGAGGGGAGUGAAAAAGAACCUGAAACCGUGU